AGCGGCGCUAUUUGACGUUAGCGACAGAAGAAGCACCGGCUAACUCCGUGCCAGCACCCGCGGUAAUACGGAGGGUGCGAGCGUUAAUCGGAAUUGUCAGGCGUAAGCGCAUGCAGGUGGUUUGUUAAGUCAGAUGUGAAAGCCCGGGGCUCAACCUCGGAAUAGCAUUUGAUACUGGCAGACUAGAGUACUGUAGAGCCGGGUAGAAUUUCAGGUGUAGCGGUGAGAUGCGUAGAGAUCUGAAGGAAUACCGGUGGCGAAGGCGGCCCCCUGGACAGAUACUGACACUCAGAUGCGAAAGCGUGGGGAGCAAACAGGAUUUGAUACCCUGGUAGUCCACGCCGUAAAUAGCGUCUACUUGGAGGUUGUGGCCUUGAGCCGUGGCUUUCGGAGCUAACGCGUUAAGUAGACCGCCUGGGGAGUACGGUCGCAAGAUUAAAACUCAAAGUAAUUGACGGGGGCCCGCACAAGCGGUGGAGCAUUGGGUUUAAUUCGAUGCAACGCGAAGAACCUUACCUACUCUUGACAUCCAGAGAACUUUCCAAAGAUGGAUUGGUGCCUUCGGGAACUCUGAGACAGGUGCUGCAUGGCUGUCGUCAGCUCGUGUUGUGAAAUGUUGGGUUAAGUCCCGCAACGAGCGCAACCCUUAUCCUUGUUUGCCAGCGAGUAAUGUCGGGAACUCCAGGGAGACUGCCGGUGAUAAACCGGAGGAAGGUGGGGACGACACUGAGUCAUCAUGGCCCUUACGAGUACCCCUACA
rnacentral:rRNA from 1 species